GCCGCCGCCACCACCACCACCUCCGUAUCUUCUUCUCAAUCUCCGGCAGCCUUCCGUUCGUCGGUCACUUUCUUCCCUCGCCACUUCAGUACCGUAUCAGAGAAUGUUGUUAAGAAAGUGGAGGAUGUAAUGCCGAUUGCAACUGGUCAUGAGCGUGAGGAGCUUGAAGCUGAGCUCCAAGGAAGGGAUAUUCUUGACAUUAACUUUCCUGAAGGUCCUUUUGGUACAAAGGAAGCGCCUGCUGUUGUCAAAUCCUACUAUGAUAGAAGAAUUGUAGGAUGCCCUGGAGAUGAAGGAGAAGAUGAGCAUGAUGUUGUUUGGUUCUGGCUUGAGAAGGGCAAGCCACAUGAAUGCCCAGUAUGCUCACAGUAUUUUGUGUUGGAAGUGGUUGGACCUGGAGGACCUCCUGAUGGACAUGGCAGUGAUGAUGAGGGUCAUCAUUGAUAGUCCGUCUUGCAAUUUUUUGUCGGAAUAAAUUUGGUUGAGACAAUGAGAGAUUACUCGUUUUAUAAACUGAUGAUUCAAAGCUGUGUUCUUUCUUUGCCUUUACUGGAUUAUUGUUCUUAUGCUUGCUGUGGUAGCACUGAAGUUGAAUAUUUUUGCUUAUAUAUUUUAUACAAUUGACAUGUAUGUCGUGGUCUACUUGAAAUAUAGACCCAGUUUCUU
rnacentral:misc_RNA from 1 species